rnacentral:rRNA from 1 species
CAUCAUGGUAUAACAAGAAUAAAAUAAUGUAUUUAAUCCCGAAAGGCAACCGAGCUGAAAAAAUGCUGACUAGAUACCAAUACUACAAUGUUGCAAUAUUGUGAUAAGACAUAUUUUCAGAGGCUACAUACCCCCGCGGUGCUUGAUAGCUGGUUGUGUUUACCACCGAUCUUAGUCGGAAGAGCAUAAUUGCUACGAAAUUAUUAAAGGCAAAGCUUUAAUAAUUUUAUUCUAUCUAACAAUAAUUAAGAUUCUUUAUAGGCUUAACACCAGCCACCUAAUCACGUUACUGUGUAAAAUCUAUUCAUCUAAUAAUUAUAACUCCUUGGUAAAACAAAACACAAUAUUCAUCUCUAAUGAAAUAAAUAUAAUGUUAUAACUAGUAUUAAAAUCUCACCCUCAUAUAAAAUAUAUAAACAAAUAUAUUUAAAUAUUCAACACACCAUAUUCAAAUAAGGAACUCGGCAAACACUUAUUCAGCCUGUUUAACAAAAACACCGCCUGUUGAAAAUAUAACAGGUCCAUCCUGCCCAGUGAAGUCUAUUUCAACGGCCGCGGUACCCUGACCG